rnacentral:rRNA from 1 species
AUUGAACGCUGGCGGCAGGCCUAACACAUGCAAGUCGAACGAGUGGCGGACGGGUGAGUAAUCUCUGAGAAACUGCCUGGUGGAGGGGGAUCACUACUGGAAACUGUAUCUAAUACCGCAUACCCUCAUGUGUGCCCAGGUGGGAUUCGCUUGUUGGGGGGGUAACGGCUCACCAAGGCGACGAUCCCUAGCUGGUCUGAGAGGAUGACCAGCCACACGGGAACUGAGACACGGUCCAGACUCCGACGGGAGGCAGCAGUGGGGAAUAUUGCACAAUGGGCGAAAGCCUGAUGCAGCCAUGCCGCGUGUAUGAAGAAGGCCUUCGGGUUGUAAAGCACUUUCAGCGGGGAGGCGUUACCCGCAGAAGAAGCACCGGCUAACUCCGUGCCAGCCGCCGCGGUAAUAC